UUUGUUGCAGUUAAAAAGCUCGUAGUCGAACCUUGGGCCUGGCUGGCCGGUCCGCCUCACCGCGUGUACUGGUCCGGCCGGGCCUUUCCUUCUGGGGAACCUCAUGCCCUUCACUGGGCGUGUUGGGGAACCAGGACUUUUACUUUGAAAAAAUUAGAGUGUUCAAAGCAGGCCUUUGCUCGAAUACAUUAGCAUGGAAUAAUAGAAUAGGACGUGUGGUUCUAUUUUGUUGGUUUCUAGGACCGCCGUAAUGAUUAAUAGGGAUAGUCGGGGGCAUCAGUAUUCAAUCGUCAGAGGUGAAAUUCUUGGAUUGAUUGAAGACUAACUACUGCGAAAGCAUUUGCCAAGGAUGUUUUCAUUAAUCAGUGAACGAAAGUUAGGGGAUCGAAGACGAUCAGAUACCGUCGUAGUCUUAACCAUAAACUAUGCCGACUAGGGAUCGGACGGUGUUAGUAUUUUGACCCGUUCGGCACCUUACGAGAAAUCAAAGUUUUUG
rnacentral:rRNA from 1 species